AGAGUUUGAUCCUGGCUCAGAAUCAACGCUGGCGGCGUGCCUCAGACAUGCAAGUCGAACGCGAAAGUCCCCUUCGGGGGAUAAGUAGAGUGGCGUCCGGGUGAGUAACACGUAGGUAAUCUACCUUUGGGUGGGGAAUAACAACCGGAAACGGUUGCUAAUACCGCAUAAUGCAGCGGCACCACAUGGUGACAGUUGUUAAUGCGGGGGAUCGCAAGACCUCGCGCCUAAAGAGGAGCCUGCGGCGGAUUAGCUAGUUGGUAGGGUAACGGCCUACCAAGGCGACGAUCCGUAGCCGGCCUGAGAGGGCGGUCGGCCACACUGACACUGAAAUACGGGUCAGACUCCUACGGGAGGCAGCAGUCGGGAAUUUUGGGCAAUGGGCGCAAGCCUGACCCAGCAACGCCGCGUGAAGGAUGAAAUCCCUCGGGAUGUAAACUUCGCAAGAACGGGAAGAAUAAGUGGAAGCUAAUACCUCCCAUGAUGACGGUACCGUUUGUAAGCUCCGGCUAACUCCGUGCCAGCAGCCGCGGUAAU
rnacentral:rRNA from 1 species